rnacentral:tRNA from 1 species
UCUAAAAUGGCAGAUUAGUGUAAUGGACUUAAACCCCAUAAAUAAAGUUUUACUUUUUUUAGAA